UAGGGAAUCUUCCGCAAUGGACGAAAGUCUGACGGAGCAACGCCGCGUGAGUGAAGAAGGAUUUCGGUUCGUAAAACUCUGUUGUUAGGGAAGAAAAAAUGUAUAGUAACUAUAUACAAAAGAGACGGUACCUAACCAGAAAGCCACGGCUAACUACGUGCCAGCAGCCGCGGUAAUACGUAGGUGGAAGCGUUGUCCGGAAUUAUUGGGCGUAAAGCGCGCGCAGGUGGUUUAGAAAGUCUGAUGUGAAAGCCCACGGCUCAACCGUGGAGGGUCAUUGGAAACUAAUAAACUUGAGUGCAGGAGAGAAAAGUGGAAUUCCUAGUGUAGCGGUGAAAUGCGUAGAGAUUAGGAGGAACACCGGUGGCGAAAGCGGCUUUUUGGCCUGCAACUGACACUGAGGCGCGAAAGCGUGGGGAGCAAACAGG
rnacentral:rRNA from 1 species